rnacentral:rRNA from 1 species
CCUACGUGAGGCUGCAGUAGGGAAUCUUCCACAAUGGGCGAAAGCCUGAUGGAGCAACGCCGCGUGGGUGAAGAAGGUCUUCGGAUCGUAAAACCCUGUUGUUAGAGAAGAAAGUGCGUGAGAGUAACUGUUCACGUUUCGACGGUAUCUAACCAGAAUGCCACGGCUAACUACGUGCCAGCAGCCGCGGUAAUACGUAGGUGGCAAGCGUUAUCCGGAUUUAUUGGGCGUAAAGGGAACGCAGGCGGUCUUUUAAGUCUGAUGUGAAAGCCUUCGGCUUAACCGGAGUAGUGCAUUGGAAACUGGGAGACUUGAGUGCAGAAGAGGAGAGUGGAACUCCAUGUGUAGCGGUGAAAUGCGUAGAUAUAUGGAAGAACACCAGUGGCGAAAGCGGCUCUCUGGUCUGUAACUGACGCUGAGGUUCGAAAGCGUGGGUAGCAAACAGGAUUAGAUACCCGAGUAGUC